rnacentral:rRNA from 1 species
CAGCCGCCGCGGUAAUACGAAGGGUGCAAGCGUUAAUCGGAAUUACUGGGCGUAAAGCGUGCGUAGGCGGUGAGUUAAGUCUGCUGUGAAAUCCCCGGGCUCAACCUGGGAACGGCAGUGGAUACUGGCUCGCUAGAGUGUGUCAGAGGAUGGUGGAAUUCCCGGUGUAGCGGUGAAAUGCGUAGAGAUCGGGAGGAACAUCAGUGGCGAAGGCGGCCAUCUGGGACAACACUGACGCUGAGGCACGAAAGCGUGGGGAGCAAACAGGAUUAGAGACCCCCGUAGUCCCUGUCUCUUAUAC